rnacentral:rRNA from 1 species
GAUGAACGCUGGCGGCGUGCCUAAAAAAGGAAGGUGGAAGGACAGACCAGGAGCUUGUUGCUCUGACGGUUGCGGCGGGCGGGAGGGGAACACGAUGAAAACCUACCUAUAAGUUCGGGGGAAAUUAGGGAAACAGGCGUAAACACCGGACAAAUAAUUGAAACGCAUGGAUCAAUAGGAAAAUCCGGCCUUGCGGGAAUGUAUAAGCGGAUCCGCGCCGCGUUAGUUUGUUGGUAAGGUAACGGCCUACCAAGGGAACGGUGCGUAGCCGGACUGGGAGGGUGGUCGGCCACACUGGAACUUAGACCCCGUCCAGGCUCCUACGGGAGGCAGCAGUAGGGAAUCUUCCGCAAUGGGCGAAAGCCUUACGCAGCCACGCCGCGUGAGUUAUGAAGGUCUUCCGGUCGUUAAACUCUGUUAUUAGGGAAGAACAAAUGUGUAAUUAACUAUGCACGUCUUGACGGUACCUAAUCAGAAAGCCACGGCUAACUACGUG